GUAUUAGUUAUGUUCUUAAAACCCAAAGGAUUUGGCGGUAUUUUAUUCCUUUCAGAGGAGCCUGUCCUGUAAUCGAUAGUACACGAUGCUUUAUACUUACCUUUGUUUUCAGUUUGUAUACCUCCGUCAUAAGGGUGUCUUUUUAGAGUCAAUUCCCUUUUUCAUUUAAUAUUUCUAUGUCAGGUCAAGGUGCAGCUUAUGGGUAAGUUGAGAUGGGCUACAAUAAAUUUAUUUAUACGAAUAUUAUUCUUUAGUUGCUUAGUUGAAGGUGGAUUUGAGAGUAAAUCUUUUUUGUUAUGGUGGUUGAACUUGCUUCUAAAAUAUGCACACAUCGACCG
rnacentral:rRNA from 1 species